UACGGGGGGGGCAAGCGUUGUUCGGAAUUACUGGGCGUAAAGGGUUCGUAGGGGGCCAACUAAGUCGGACGUGAAAUCCCUCAGCUUAACUGGGGAACUGCGUCUGAUACUGGUUGGCUUGAGUGCAGGAGAGGAACGCGGAAUUCCAGGUGUAGCGGUGAAAUGCGUAGAUAUCUGGAGGAACACCGGUGGCGAAGGCGGCGUUCUGGACUGCAACUGACACUGAGGAACGAAAGCCAGGGGAGCAAACGGG
rnacentral:rRNA from 1 species